CGUCCCUUCGUGCGACUAGAAUAACUCCCUCCUCAUAACCUGGCCGCCCCGUCUCCCAUUCACAGUCUCUCUCCCUCCUCUAGGUUGGCAACCACCGUCGGGGUAGGGCAAGGGCAAGCUGGAGCCCCGGUUCAGAUCCAAGGACUUAUGAUGCACUACACCACGAUAUGCAACAAAUUUGUGAGAGGGGAAAUUUUUCACAGGCGGUUGUAGCUAUGAAGAGGCAAGAGGUGGUCAACGUGAAAUCUGCAGCCCAACUGAUUCAAUUGAUAUGAAUUGUAAGGUGCUGGAUCAGAACUGAGAUCUAUGCAUGUCAUCAUUCAGUUUGCAAAGAGGAGCCAAUUGGUCUGAUUCUCUCUACGGCCACAGCGGUAGAAAAAGACUUGCUCCGUUUCCACGUAAAGACAGUUGAACAGUCUAUAGAAAAAGAAACUGCUUUGUAACUCACGAUGAAGGCAUGUGAGGUGACUUCAUGCACGGUUCAGUUUGCAGCCGUCCAUGUAACCUUUUCACCUUAUGCACUAAUUAAUCUCUUCAAUUAAUCUUUCGCUAGAAAAAUAAUUCCUGACGUAUUAUCUUUCGACCCAUUCGACUUAUGGACCUCUCCGUUUCCACUUCCGAGCGCCACUCUUUCCCUAGGAUAAAAUCACAAAAUGAUCAGCUCUCUCUCCCCGAAAAUAAAUCCAGUUACCUCCCUGGCCACGGCGUCUGGAGCCGAUCUCUGCGUCAGGGUGCUCCUCCAGUUCGAUCGUCGAUGCCGCUCGCCUCUUAUGCUCUCCGGGAUUCUCAAGGGUAUAUGUUCCCUUGCCGGUUUAAUGCUCUGUGUGCCCUGGUUCUCCCUUCCCGUGUUUGUCUCCGCUUCGGCUAAGGUAACUCCGGCACCGAUGGCAGAUCGGUUCCGGCCGGUUCGAGUAGAAUUGUAACGGCUGCUGAUGAAUUUCUAAUCCGAAGUUAUCUUUCUUUUCCUACUGAAAGAAACGCAUCAGGCAACGCCAGGCAGGGCAUCAACCAUGGCUUGAGUCCACCAGAUCAUCGUGUCAUUGAGAUUUCAAUCUAUUUCCUUUUUAUCCUGGAAGGAAUGCAUUGGUAGGAUGCUGGGCAGGGUCUCAGCCAUGGCAUGGAUGUUACUUUUGGCCUCGAAGGAACUCCCGGUGUGUACAGGAGUCCUUUCCUCUGAAUUUCGAACCAUGACGUUUCUAACAGUAUACAAGUUUGUAAACUGCUCCAUUGAACAGGUUAGCAUACAAUUGUUCUUCCCAACAGAUUAUCAUGUAAGAGCUGCAAGUUCAAUCCAUCGGUUGAUAUGGCUCUGCGAAGCUUAUGAUAAAUAUAGAAGCAUCGAAAUUUGAUAUCUA